rnacentral:rRNA from 1 species
AUUCCAGCUCCAAUAGUGUAUAUUAAAGUUGUUGCAGUUAAAAAGCUCGUAGUUGGAUUUCUGGCGGGAGCGAUCGGUCCUUCACUCAGUGUUGGAACCUGAUUGUCUCCUGCCAUCCAUGGAGAAAACUUAUCUGGCAUUAAGUUGUCGGGUAGGCAAUCUCCAUCUUUUACUGUGAAAAAAUUAGAGUGUUCAAAGCAGGCUUAUGCCGUUGAAUAUAUUAGCAUGGAAUAAUAAGAUAGGAUCUUGAUACUAUUUUGUUGGUUUGCGUGUCGAGAUAAUGAUGAAUAGGGACAGUUGGGAGUAUUUGUAUUCCAUAGUCAGAGGUGAAAUUCUUGGAUUUAUGGAAGACAAACUAAUGCGAAAGCAUCUACCAAGGAUGUUUUCAUUA